GAUGAAGAACGUAGUGAAAUGCGAUAAGUAAUGUGAAUUGCAGAAUCCAGUGAAUCAUCGAAUCUUUGAACGCACAUUGCGCCCGCCAGCAUUCUGGCGGGCAUGCCUGUUCGAGCGUCAUUUCAACCCUCGACCUCCCUUUGGGGAAGUCGGCGUUGGGGACCGGCAGCACACCGCCGGCCCUGAAAUGGAGUGGCGGCCCGUCCGCGGCGACCUCUGCGUAGUAAACCAACUCGCACCGGAACCCCGACGUGGCCACGCCGUAAAACACCCAACUUCUGAACGUUGACCUCGAAUCAGGUAGGACUACCCGCUGAACUUAAGCAUAUCAUAAGCGGAGGA
rnacentral:misc_RNA from 1 species